rnacentral:lncRNA from 1 species
UAACUGACUUGACUUCUAAUAUUUAUGCAAAAUUUGAAAGUAAGUUAAAAUUUUAAUUAGGAACUAUUGUUGAUGGAAGAUUAAUAUUAAGGUCAAAGAUGGACUCUAGUUGACACACAUAUAGAUUAUGAUGUUUUUCUCCCAUUUCAUAAGUUCAACUCUUUUUAAUUUUGUUGUACUUAUUGUUAAGUAAAAGAUAGAGAGAUCUAUAAAAUUUUAAGUAAGAUCAAUGGUUUAGACAAUAGAAAUUGAGGUUCUAAAACUACUAUGGGAUUAGUUUGAACUAGUUAGAUUUUGGUUAGAAUUUAAAGGUGGAUUAGGAUUUGAUUUAGGAUUUAGAAUUUGAUUAUAAUUUGAUUUAAAUUUAAGUUUUGAUUAGAAUUGAUUUAGAAUUUAAAGUCUGAUUAGGAUUGGUUUAGGAUAUAGAAUUUCUUUAGGAUUUUUUAAAAAUUUCUUUAAGAUUCUUGUGAAUGUUUUUUAGAUUAUUUUAGGAAUUCUUCAAGAUUUUUUUAAAGGUUGUUUUUUAUUUUUCUUUUGGAUUUCUUAUGAAUUAAUAUGGAAUUUUUUAAAUAUUUUUUAUGGAUUUUUUAAGGAUUUCUUUAAGUU